CUCUGAGCUCCUCCAGUAACUAAGAAGGCAGUACUGAGGGGCAAAAUCCUUCCAUCCCAAGAUUUUAGUUUCAAGAUCUCUUUUCCAAUAGCUCAAGUGGCUCAGUGGAAAAGAAUCCACCUGCAAUGCAGAAGAUGCAGAAGACAUGGGUUCAUUCCCUGAAUCAAAAAUCACCUGAUUUCUGAUGGCAUGGCAACCCACUCCAGUAUUCUUGCCAAGAAAAUCCCAUGGACAGAGGAACCUGGCAGGCUAUGACCCAUGGGAUCACAAAGAGUCAGAAACGACUAAGCAACCAACUAAAAUAUACACACCUGUAUUCUCCAAGCUAGUGUUCACCAGUACAUGAACCAAGAACUCCCAGAUGUUCCAGUUGGAUUUAGAAAAGGCAGAGGAACCAGCGAUCAAAUUGCCAACAUCCGUUGGAUCAUAGAAAAAGCUAGAGAAUUCCAG